rnacentral:rRNA from 1 species
UACGAAGGGGGCUAGCGUUGCUCGGAAUGACUGGGCGUAAAGGGCGCGUAGGCGGUUCGUACAGUUGGGUGUGAAAUUCCUGGGCUUAACCUGGGGGCUGCACCCAAUACGUGCGGGCUUGAGUGUGGAAGAGGGUCGUGGAAUUCCCAGUGUAGAGGUGAAAUUCGUAGAUAUUGGGAAGAAACACCGGUGGCGAAGGCGGCGACCUGGUCCAUUACUGACGCUGAGGCGCGAAAGCGUGGGGAGCAAACAGG